rnacentral:rRNA from 1 species
AGCGUACACGGUGGAUGCCCUGGCAGUCAGAGGCGAUGAAGGACGUGCUAAUCUGCGAUAAGCGUCGGUAAGGUGAUAUGAACCGUUAUAACCGGCGAUUUCCGAAUGGGGAAACCCAGUGUGAUUCGUCACACUAUCAUUAACUGAAUCCAUAGGUUAAUGAGGCGAACCGGGGGAACUGAAACAUCUAAGUACCCCGAGGAAAAGAAAUCAACCGAGAUUCCCCCAGUAGCGGCGAGCGAACGGGGAGGAGCCCAGAGCCUGAAUCAGUGUGUGUGUUAGUGGAAGCGUCUGGAAAGGCGCGCGAUACAGGGUGACAGCCCCGUACACAAAAAUGCACAUGCUGUGAGCUCGAUGAGUAGGGCGGGACACGUGGUAUCCUGUCUGAAUAUGGGGGGACCAUCCUCCAAGGCUAAAUACUCCUGACUGACCGAUAGUGAACCAGUACCGUGAGGGAAAGGCGAAAAGAACCCCGGCGAGGGGAGUGAAAAAGAACCUGAAACCGUGUACGUACAAGCAGUGGGAGCCUCUUUAUGGGGUGACUGCGUACCUUUUGUAUAAUGGGUCAGCGACUUAUAUUCUGUAGCAAGGUUAACCGAAUAGGGGAGCCGAAGGGAAACCGAGUCUUAACUGGGCGUUAAGUUGCAGGGUAUAGACCCGAAACCCGGUGAUCUAGCCAUGGGCAGGUUGAAGGUUGGGUAACACUAACUGGAGGACCGAACCGACUAAUGUUGAAAAAUUAGCGGAUGACUUGUGGCUGGGGGUGAAAGGCCAAUCAAACCGGGAGAUAGCUGGUUCUCCCCGAAAGCUAUUUAGGUAGCGCCUCGUGAAUUCAUCUCCGGGGGUAGAGCACUGUUUCGGCAAGGGGGUCAUCCCGACUUACCAACCCGAUGCAAACUGCGAAUACCGGAGAAUGUUAUCACGGGAGACACACGGCGGGUGCUAACGUCCGUCGUGAAGAGGGAAACAACCCAGACCGCCAGCUAAGGUCCCAAAGUCAUGGUUAAGUGGGAAACGAUGUGGGAAGGCCCAGACAGCCAGGAUGUUGGCUUAGAAGCAGCCAUCAUUUAAAGAAAGCGUAAUAGCUCACUGGUCGAGUCGGCCUGCGCGGAAGAUGUAACGGGGCUAAACCAUGCACCGAAGCUGCGGCAGCGACGCUUAUGCGUUGUUGGGUAGGGGAGCGUUCUGUAAGCCUGCGAAGGUGUACUGUGAGGUAUGCUGGAGGUAUCAGAAGUGCGAAUGCUGACAUAAGUAACGAUAAAGCGGGUGAAAAGCCCGCUCGCCGGAAGACCAAGGGUUCCUGUCCAACGUUAAUCGGGGCAGGGUGAGUCGACCCCUAAGGCGAGGCCGAAAGGCGUAGUCGAUGGGAAACAGGUUAAUAUUCCUGUACUUGGUGUUACUGCGAAGGGGGGACGGAGAAGGCUAUGUUGGCCGGGCGACGGUUGUCCCGGUUUAAGCGUGUAGGCUGGUUUUCCAGGCAAAUCCGGAAAAUCAAGGCUGAGGCGUGAUGACGAGGCACUACGGUGCUGAAGCAACAAAUGCCCUGCUUCCAGGAAAAGCCUCUAAGCAUCAGGUAACAUCAAAUCGUACCCCAAACCGACACAGGUGGUCAGGUAGAGAAUACCAAGGCGCUUGAGAGAACUCGGGUGAAGGAACUAGGCAAAAUGGUGCCGUAACUUCGGGAGAAGGCACGCUGAUAUGUAGGUGAAGUCCCUUGCGGAUGGAGCUGAAAUCAGUCGAAGAUACCAGCUGGCUGCAACUGUUUAUUAAAAACACAGCACUGUGCAAACACGAAAGUGGACGUAUACGGUGUGACGCCUGCCCGGUGCCGGAAGGUUAAUUGAUGGGGUUAGCGGUAACGCGAAGCUCUUGAUCGAAGCCCCGGUAAACGGCGGCCGUAACUAUAACGGUCCUAAGGUAGCGAAAUUCCUUGUCGGGUAAGUUCCGACCUGCACGAAUGGCGUAAUGAUGGCCAGGCUGUCUCCACCCGAGACUCAGUGAAAUUGAACUCGCUGUGAAGAUGCAGUGUACCCGCGGCAAGACGGAAAGACCCCGUGAACCUUUACUAUAGCUUGACACUGAACAUUGAGCCUUGAUGUGUAGGAUAGGUGGGAGGCUUUGAAGUGUGGACGCCAGUCUGCAUGGAGCCGACCUUGAAAUACCACCCUUUAAUGUUUGAUGUUCUAACGUUGGCCCCUAAUCGGGGUUGCGGACAGUGUCUGGUGGGUAGUUUGACUGGGGCGGUCUCCUCCUAAAGAGUAACGGAGGAGCACGAAGGUUGGCUAAUCCUGGUCGGACAUCAGGAGGUUAGUGCAAUGGCAUAAGCCAGCUUGACUGCGAGCGUGACGGCGCGAGCAGGUGCGAAAGCAGGUCAUAGUGAUCCGGUGGUUCUGAAUGGAAGGGCCAUCGCUCAACGGAUAAAAGGUACUCCGGGGAUAACAGGCUGAUACCGCC